rnacentral:lncRNA from 10 species
GGGGUCUAUUUCCUCUCACAGAUGGAGAUUUCUUGCCUUUGCUGGAAUUCUUCCCCUAUCACCAUCUCUGUAUGUACAAUUUUCUCAUCCUUCAAGGCUUCACUCAAAUGUCAUUUGAACUUCUUGGAGUUAAAAUUGCUCCCUCUGUUGAACUCCUAUCUUCCUUAGGGCUGUAAUUAUUUGCCCAUCUCAUUCUCAACUUUCUCAUGAGAAUGUAUGCUCCUGAGGACCGCUUCAGGUUUCAACUCCACCGCCCCCACGGAUGCUGCUGAACUGCUUCCUGUGCAAGGAUGAUGAGCACUGUCUGGGCUCCAGUUCGGCGGGCUUUGCCAUUCAGGCAUCCAGCGCAGCUGACAAGCCCGAGGAUCGAUGGAGAAGACACUGUCCAAUUCAGCUUUCUGUCCUCAUUACCUGAC